UAGAUAGAGAUACAAAUAUACAAAUAUAGAUAUAAAUAUAUAUAAGUAAAUAAACGUAACCCUUAAACCGGUAGUAAACAAAUGAUAAGAGGGGUAGAAAAGUAAAUUUGAUCCUAACCCUAGACACCCAUAUAUAACCAUCUUUAACUCUUAACCCUUUUCAUUUCACCCCUACAACUUUCAGCCGUCCCCUCUCCCUCUCAUUUCGGCCCCCUACCAUUUGAGCUUCCUCUCUCUCUCUCUCUCUCUCUCUCUCUCUCUCUCUCUCUCUCUCUCUCUCUCUCUCUCUCUCUCUCUCUCUCUCUGUUUUCAUUUUCUUGUUUGAUCUUUGUUUUUAUUUUAUUUUUCUUUUAAUCUCUUGCAGUUUUGUCCGCAUUACUCAUCUCUUGCAUUUAUUUGAUUUUUUUUUGGUGCAUUUAGAUCUAGAAUGUUCUUUACGGGAAUUUUUUUUCUCUCAGUUUUUAUCUUCUUGUUUGAUCUUUGUUUCUACUUUCUUUUUCUUUUAAUCUCCUGUAGUUUCGUCUGAACUACUCAUCUCUUGCGUUUAUUAUAUUUUUUUUUUGUUCAUCUUUUGUGCAUUUAGAUCUAGAAUAUUUUUUACGGGAAUUUUUUUUUUCUAAACUUUCAGAUCUGAACCGUUUAUUUCAUUUAUUUGUUAUUGAUUUUUUAUACGUUUCAAUGAAGAAUGUUUUUGACAGUUUUUCAAAUUUUGUUCUGUUUUUACUUUAAGAUCUGAACAAAUUUUUUUUUUUUGGUUGAGUUUCCUUCUCGUUUUUUUGUUCUUGUUUUUGUCUCUUGCCUUAUUUUGUUCUUCCGUUCUCUUAUUUUGUUGUUUGAUGUUUGGAAUUUUCAGAUCUGUACAACAACUUAUUGUUUUGCAAAUGAUGUAUGUAACGUGCGGAUCCUCCAUGCACAAUAACAACUUAUUGUUAUUUUUUUAUGCAUAUUUUUGAAUUUUUCUGUUGGAUUUGUUAUUUGUUAGUUCUUCCUCUCGUGGUGGCUCAGAUCCGCUGCCUAUGACCGCGCUUAGCAGCCGACUACCACGGCGGAAGGUGAAAUAUUUUUCGUUUGUGUAUUAUUUCACCAUUGUGUAUUAACGUACUCUGUUUGGGUUUUAAUUUUUUUUUAUCUGAACGAUAUUUUCGGUUUGUUGGUUGGAUCUGUUGUUUUUGGUUGAAGGAAGUUUUUGUUUUUCCUGAUGGAUAUUUCUAGGUUUUUCCGUUGAAUAUGUUGUUUGUUGGGUCUUCCUAAUAUCGCAGUUCACAUCGGCUGAUAAUGGCCAGUCGGCAGCCCACGACCAUGCCGGAAGGACGUACGAACAAAUUUGAAGAUUAAAUUUCAGAAGAUCCAAUUUGUAUGAGGGAUUUAAUUGUUUUGUUGGGUUUACUCUAUGUAAAUAAAGAUGUAAAUAUGCAAAUAUAGUAAAUAUGCAAAUAUAGUUUUAUCUUUCCAUUUUUUUUGGCUGUAAUACACAUGCAUAUCAUGUAAUUACAUAAUAUAAGAAAUAGAUUCAUACAAUACAAUUAAUUUUUACAA